GGUCCCUCCAGAAGUGAAACCAAACAAACAUUAAAUGGACUUUUAACCUAGGAUGCUAAUCCGAAGUUUGAGAAUCAUGAUAAAAUUUUAGCAGCACUUUACUACCUUCAAAUCAAAUUUUGGAUAACCAUUCUCUUAAGAACCAGAAGGUGAAGACCAAAAACCAUGCAGCACUUCGUAUCAACAGUGCUUCGUCCCAUCAAUUGUCUUCAUGUCGGGUCUCUGGCUCCGGUUAAACCACCACGCCAGAAGCCGAUGGAACUAGCUUGUUGAGAUGUUGGUCUAAAGGGUUUGUAAGAAGGAAGGAAAAAAAAAUCAAGAAGAGAAUGUGAAGGAAGCAUGGCCAUGGACAUAAGUGAAGUUGCCUCUACAGCUACCAAAUGUACAUACAUAAGGGUGAAAAUAUCAGUGCAUCAAAAGUGAGUCCAUCUGUGAUAUGGGUUAUAUGGGAAAAUAAUUUCUUUGGAGUAAGUAUCAAUUUUUGCACAAAUAGAAAAUACAUCAUUGUACAGCCCGAUAUGUAUAUACAUAGUUUUUUUUUUUUUAAAAGAUAUACAUAGUUCUAAUCAUCAAUAGAUGCAGAAAAACUUAGUACCAA